rnacentral:misc_RNA from 1 species
GAUGAAGAACGUAGCGAAAUGCGAUAAGUAAUGUGAAUUGCAGAAUUCAGUGAAUCAUCGAAUCUUUGAACGCACAUUGCGCCCGCCAGUAUUCUGGCGGGCAUGCCUGUUCGAGCGUCAUUACAACCCUCAGGCCCCCGGGCCUGGCGUUGGCGAUCGGCGGAAGCCCCCUGCGGGCACAACGCCGUCCCCCAAAUACAGUGGCGGUCCCGCCGCAGCUUCUAUUGCGUAGUAGCUAACACCUCGCAACUGGAGAGCGGCGCGGCCACGCCGUAAAACACCCAACUUCUGAAUGUUGACCUCGAAUCAGGUAGGAAUACCCGCUGAACUUAAGCAUAUCAAUAAGCGGAGGA